rnacentral:rRNA from 1 species
AGGAUAAACGCUGGCGGCGUGCCUAACACAUGCAAGUCGAACGCGCUUUCGGGCUUCGGUGCGAGAGCGAGUGGCGGACGGGUGAGUAACACAUGGGUACCUACCUUGGAGUGAGGGAUACCGGCGAGAAAUCGCCGACAAUACCGCAUAGGCUUCUUCACAAGGGAAGCAAAGUGACGCGAGUCACGCUGUGAGAUGGGCCUGUGGCCGAUUAGCUAGUUGGGGGGUAACGGCUUCCCAAGGCGACGAUCGGUAGCUGGUCUGAGAGGACGACCAGCCACACUGGGAUUGAGAACGGCCCAGACUCCUACGGGGGGCAGCAGUGAGGAAUUUUCCGCAAUGGAGGCAACUCUGACGGAGCAACGCCGCGUGCAGGAGGAAGGUUUUCGGAUCGUAAACUGCUCUUCUCGGGGACGAGCAAGGACGGUACCCGAGGAAGAAGCCCCGGCUAACUACGUGCCAGCAGCCGC